CUGGCUCAGAAUGAACGCUGGCGGCGUGCUUAACACAUGCAAGUCGAACGAGAAAGGGAUUGCUUGCAAUCCUGAGUAGAGUGGCGCACGGGUGAGUAACACGUAGAUAAUCUACCCCCAAGCCCGGGAUAACUAUUCGAAAGGGUGGCUAAUACCGGAUGCAGUGUAUAUUCAUAAGAGUAUACAUGAAAGAUUGCCUCUUCAUUGAAAGCAGUUGUUUGGGGAUGAGUUUGCGGACCAUUAGUUAGUUGGUGGGGUAAAGGCCUACCAAGGCGACGAUGGUUAGCUGGUCUGAGAGGAUGAUCAGCCACACUGGAACUGGAACACGGUCCAGACUCCUACGGGAGGCAGCAGUGAGGGAUUUUGCGCAAUGGGGUAACCCCUGACGCAGCAACGCCGCGUGAGUGAAGAAGGCCUUUGGGUCGUAAAGCUCUGUCAACUGGGAAGAAGUUAUAUGAUAUUAACAGUGUUAUAUAUUGACGGUACCAGUGGAGGAAGCGCCGGCUAACUCCGUGCCAGCAGCCGCGGUAACACGGGGGGCGCAAGCGUUAUUCGGAAUUAUUGGGCGUAAAGGGCGCGUAGGCGGUUUUGUCGGUCAGAUGUGAAAGCCCGGGGCUCAACCCCGGACGUGCAUUUGAAACAGCAAGACUUGAGUACGGGAGAGGAAAGCGGAAUUCCUGGUGUAGAGGUGAAAUUCGUAGAUAUCAGGAGGAACACCGAUGGCGAAGGCAGCUUUCUGGACCGAUACUGACGCUGAGGCGCGAAGGCGUGGGUAGCGAACAGGAUUAGAUACCCUGGUAGUCCACGCAGUAAACGAUGUACACUAGGUGUAGCGGGUAUUAAAACUUGCUGUGCCGGAGCUAACGCAUUAAGUGUACCGCCUGGGGAGUACGGUCGCAAGACUAAAACUCAAAGGAAUUGACGGGGGCCCGCACAAGCGGUGGAGCAUGUGGUUUAAUU
rnacentral:rRNA from 1 species